rnacentral:tRNA from 1 species
GGGGGUCGGCUGGUUAAACCGAUUGGUUUUCGACCACUACGACCCGGGUUCGAUUCCCGCAUUGGACA